UGAGUCUUUUGGACUGCACAGAGUGAUGCAGUAUUGACUGUGAUGCUGAUUUGAGUUGUCUCAUUCUGUAUUUUUGUGCUUUGUCUUUUGUUACACAGAGUGAAAGAGAUCUUUGGUUUUGCCUUUGCUGACUGCUGAUCUGAUCGUCUCAAGUCUGGUGACCUGCUGCAGAAAACCCUCUCCCUCUAUCUUUGACAAGCAAUUAACAAGCAUAUUCAGUCUGUCCUAUCACUCUCCCUCUCCCUGCUCCAUCUUUUUUGACAAGCCAUUCUAUCUUCUAUCAUUUCUCCGCCAUGAGCUCUAUCUAAUUUGACAAGCUUGAACCUGAGUUGAAAAGCAAUCUAAGUUUGACAAGAAACCAAGUUUGACAAGAAACCAAGUUUGACAAGAAAUUGAAGUUACCACAACUUCGUCGAUCUGUUUUCAGAAUUCUGAGAGAUCUCCGCUCUCACUGCUCCUUCUUUCCUGUCAUUAAACUCUCUCAUAUCCACUCAUUUUGCUGGAAAUUACAAGUAAAAAGUUGAAUAUACAGUAGUAGAAUUACAGUACAGUAGAACUCACAGUAGAAACUACUUACAGAGCCCUACAUUUGUCAUUUUAAUUUUGCAUUACACUUUGAAAUAAACACUGAUAGUUUGGCUUACAAGUGCAAUUACUUUGAUAAAUUAUAUAAAAUAUACAGCUUUUUUGAGAUUUUUCUUUGUAGUAAGAUAAUCUGGUUAUUUUGUAAUACAUACAUUCAGGCUGCUGUAUUCACAUAAAUAUUAAAUUUGAUUCAAAUACAUUUUUCAAGUCUGUUUCAUUGGCUUGACAUUUGACUACAAGUUUUUGCUAUUAUUAUUAUUUAA